rnacentral:rRNA from 1 species
GACGAACGCUGGCGGCGUGCUUAACACAUGCAAGUCGAACGCUGAAGCCCAGCUUGCUGGGUGGAUGAGUGGCGAACGGGUGAGUAACACGUGAGUAACCUGCCCCCUUCUUUGGGAUAACGCCCGGAAACGGGUGCUAAUACUGGAUAUUCACUGGCCUUCGCAUGGGGGUUGGUGGAAAGGUUUUUCUGGUGGGGGAUGGGCUCGCGGCCUAUCAGCUUGUUGGUGGGGUGAUGGCCUACCAAGGCUUUGACGGGUAGCCGGCCUGAGAGGGUGACCGGUCACAUUGUGACUGACAUACGGCCCAAACUCCUACGGGAGGCAACUCUGGGGAAUAUUGCACAAUGUUUUUAUUCCCUGAUGUAGCCACCCCCCGUGCGGGCUGACUGCCCUCGGGUUGCAAUUUUUUUUUCAUUUCAGGUCAAUCCGCAGUAGAGGGUGGGGGGUGAGUGAUAUUACAUUCAGACUGCGGCCUCCUCCU